AUUGAACGCUGGCGGCAGGCCUAACACAUGCAAGUCGAACGAGUGGCGGACGGGUGAGUAAUGUCUGGGAAACUUCCUGAUGGAGGGGGAUAACUACUGGAAACGGUCGCUAAUACCGCAUACCAUCAGAUGUGCCCAGAUGGGAUUAGCUAGUUGGUGGGGUAAAGGCUCACCAAGGCGACGAUCCCUAGCUGUUCUGAGAGGGUGACAAGCCACACGGGAACUGAGACGCGGUCCAGACUCAUCAGGGAGGCAGCGGUGGGGAAUAUUGCACAAUGGGCGCAAGCCUGAUGCAGCCAUGCCGAGUGUAUGAAGAAGGCAUUCGGGUUGUAAAGUACUUUCAGCGGGGAGGCGUUACCCGCAGAAGAAGCACCGGCUAACUCCGUGCCAGCAGCCGCGGUAAUAC
rnacentral:rRNA from 1 species